rnacentral:lncRNA from 1 species
CCGAUGCCUGGACGAUCACAGGCGUUCAGUUGGCCAUGCUCAUGGCUAACGUAGUUUGAGUUUAUUCUGCACCAAACACCCUGUAGGUCUUGAUUUGAUUGAGGCCCAUGACAACCCUAAGAGGUGGCUGCCACCUCCAUCCAAGGGACAAGGGGACUAAGCUGUGAGAGAAGAGCCGGCCCCAAGGCCCACAGCUGGAAGGCUUGGAUUUGAAGGCAGAUAAGUCAAGCUCUGAGCGCCAACUAGCUUUAGGGAAAGUAUCAAGAAAGAAUGAGCUGAUGAACAAAGAAACAUCAUUCAACUCAUAACCGUGUUGUCCCACCAGCUCUUAAGCACCGCAACAUACCUCGAAUGAAACCUCAGCCCCAGAAAGGCCCUGAAAUGUCCAACAACGUCAGCCUCAUUUUUCCGUACAAACAGCACUGAAGCUCCUAUAAAACCUGGAAGCAGAUCACUCUCCUGUAAUAUCUGCGAAUGCAUUUUGAUCCUGUGGGGCAAGCAACACCUAUUUUCAGAUCUUUAAAAAUUUUUUCACAAAUAAGGAAACCGAAGCCCAGAAGAUUGCAUGGCUUGCCCAAGGCCAUGCAGUGAGUUUAUGCUGCAAAGCUGGAAGUGGAAUCCAGGUCCUGCCUCUUUUCAAUUCAGUGUCCUUCCGCCUGCUUCUCCCAAUGGCCGCAUCUUCACCCAGAUGAUGCUAAUUUGUUACCACCUGAUAGUCGUGUUUAUCAUGCCAACAAGCUUCCCUGAGCCAGUCAGGAAAUUCAAUUUCAUUCCUCAAAUGACUUUCAGAGAACAACCUGGCCUUUGCGCAGUCAUAUUGGGAUUCCCUACUCCAUGCUAUGGGGGGCUCCCCGGGUCAACACUUUCCUGGAGGCUGUUCUCUCUCCUUUUCUUGAGAUCUGCAGGCCCUGGCUGAGGGGAUGGAGACAGACUGAUGGCCAUCUGUCUGGGCUGUUCUGUGUGGCUUGGGCCCGAAUGCACUAAGCGAUUUAUCAGUUAACCGCGCAGUUUGUGUGCACGGCUGGGCUGUUUGCAGAACCAUGCCUUUCCCAUGGCUGCUCGGAGGGAAAUUACCAGUGCCCACUGAAGCAGGCGAUCAGGGGCUCGCUGGAUCCCUUUCAAGGACCAUGUGGCUCUUCACAUCUCCUCCUUAGGAUGAACGGUGCCUCCCUCUUCAAAGGCCAGUGCUGUCAAAAGAACUCUCUGCAAUCACAGAAACGAGCUCCAUCUGUGCCAUCCAAUGAGGCAGCCACCAGCCACGCGCUACUGAACCCUUGAAAUAGGCCUUGUGCAAUAGAGGAAUUGGACUUUUUUUCUUUUUCUUUUUGGUGUGGAAGAUUGUCCCAGAGCUAACAUCUGUUGCCAAUCUUCCUCUUUUUGCUUGAGGAAGAUCGGCCCUGAGCUAACACCUGUGCCAGUCUUCCUCUAUUUUGUAUGUGGGAUGCAGCCACAGCAUGGCUUGAUGAGCAGUGUGUAGGUCCACACCUGGGAUCUGAAGCUGCAAACCCUGGGCUGCCAAAGCAGAGUGCGUGAACUUAACCACUGCACCACCAGACUGGACCUGGAACUGGAUUUUUACCUCAUUUACAUUUAACUAGCCACAUGUGGCAGUGGCCACGGAAUUGGAAAGCAGUUAUAGACGGGGGUGAAAAAAGAAAAACAGACUGAAGUCUGAGGAAGUUCAGAAUUGCCCAAGGUCAUAACCUGGAUGAAGGUGGAGGUGAGAAUUGAAUCCACGCUUGUCAGCAUCUGCUGUGCAUCUCCAAAGAUGGAGGGUCCGGCUGGCUGAGGACGCACUCCAACACGCAAACCCAGAUCUGAAACUCGACACAGGCUGGGGAGAAAUAUUCCCGGGGCCAGGGAAUUGGCCCAGAAGGAGAAGGAUAUGAAUAUUCAAAACGGAUAAUGGUUGUGGAAACGCUUUGUAAACUGUGAAGUGCCGGUUCAGGGUGGGGGUUAUUAACAAUAGCCCUUGGCGCUGACUCCAUGGCACAGCUUUCCUGUCCCUCUCCACAUCCUGCUGCUCUGUUAAUCAUUAAUUAAAGCUUAAGGGAUUUGGGAAUACAGGCCUCUGAAAUUUGGACUAAACCCUCUGUGAUAUUGGAAAAAAAAAAAAGAAUCUCGGAUAAUUAGCUUUUCUUUCCCUAAAUGCUUUUUGGGUCUCAUUACAAUCGAAGUGCUGGGCUAAUAUACCUUGUGUUGUGAAUGCCUCACAAUUCCUGCUAAUUGAAUUAAACCCAAUUCUCUGCAAAUAAACUCUUGGUUUUCUUAAUGGCAAAUAAGGAACAGAGCUGUUUCUUUCUGGAACGGGUCAUUACAAGGCCCUAAUUACCAGGAUCUCAACGUGUAACGCAGACCGCCUUUGUGUCGGCUCCUCACAAUGACGGCUCUGUUAAGAUCAAAGUCGCAACGUGCCCUUGGAAUCUUCUCCCUCUCUUUAUCCCACUUCAAAAUGCUUAAUAAUGACUAAUCCAAUUUCCAAGAUGGCAGAGAAAGGACGAGAGAACAGAAGUCCACUUUUUUUAAAUUCAGGACAAAUAUUCCAAAAUGGAUGCGCUCAUGCGCCCCCCCCCCCUUUUCUUUUUCCCUUGCACACAGCACAUUUGGAAGUGGCUGCUUAAUGAAGGAUUCUGCACCUCAGGAGUUGCACGCGUGCCCAAGGUGAACCGAGGAGCUGCGUGGAGUAAUCAGAUGUCAGUGAGGAAGAUGGAUACCAUUGUUCUCUCAUGGCCCAACACCUUUAUCAAUAAUGCAAUGCCAAUUACUUUGGGGACCAGCCUGGACUCUUGUGGGAUGGGAAACUUGAU